ACGGGGGGUGCAAGCGUUGUUCGGAAUUAUUGGGCGUAAAGGGCGUGUAGGCGGCUUGGUAAGUCAGAUGUGAAAUCCCUGGGCUUAACCCAGGAACUGCAUGUGAAACUGCAUAGCUUGAGUAAGGGAGAGGGAAGUGGAAUUCCCGGUGUAGAGGUGAAAUUCGUAGAUAUCAGGAGGAACACCAGUGGCGAAGGCGGCUUCCUGGCCUGAUACUGACGCUGAGGCGCGAGAGCGUGGGGAGCAAACAG
rnacentral:rRNA from 1 species